GACGUAGGAGGCGAGCGUUGUCCGGAUUUACUGGGCGUAAAGCGCGCGCAGGCGGUCGCGCAGGUCAUCUGUGAAAGCACCCGGCUCAACCGGGUUGUUGCGGGUGAAACCGCGUGACUUGAGGUCGGGAGGGGUCGGCGGAAUUCCCGGUGUAGUGGUGAAAUGCGUAGAUAUCGGGAGGAACACCCGUAGCGAAGGCGGCCGACUGGACCGAUCCUGACGCUGAGGCGCGAAGGCCAGGGGAGCGAACGGG
rnacentral:rRNA from 1 species